GUUCCCUUCGGCAAGAACUUACACUAAAAUUGGAGCAAUGCAGAGAAGAUUAGCAUGGCCUUUGCACAAGGAUAACAGGCAAAUUUGUGAAGCAUUCCUUUUUGAG
rnacentral:snRNA from 1 species